ensembl:lncRNA
AGCAUCUCAACCCAGUAGGUAGAGCUGGCUAUAAAAGAAAAAAUAUGUGGUACUCCUUGCAGGAAGCAGAACAGGUUUAAAUUUGCUGCUUUGUAGUUUAAUCAGUUCAGUAUAUUUACAGCAAUAGUUUGCUUUGCAGGAUUUCACUGAUCAUCCCAAAUUUAUACUUUCUAAAGAAGCUGGAUAAUUUAAAAAUGUUUGGCCCUGAUCUAACUUCUACAAGGAAAAAAGAAUUCUAGGAACCUCCGAAGAUGUCUUAGAGCUACUGAUGUAUUUGUGCUGCCUGAUUUCUGUUGUGCCAAGGAUGGGAACUCCCUCAUGAUGAGCAAGGAAUCCUUAUCCCGUUGGGCUUUGCAGGUGUUUGAAUGUAGCAGUAGAGAAGAACGCAGUGAGAAGUCCCACAGCAAGCUGGAGGGAAAAUCUAUUAGAAAAUGAACAACAAAACAACUCAGCACAAGUAGCACCAGCUUGAUAAAAUGGUGGAAGAAGUAUGACAGGGGCAGAGCUGCUGUUAGGUGGGGACUUGAGGCCUGAGGAGCCUACUGUGAUGGGAGGACUUAGAAGACAUAAGCCCAAUGUUCUCAAUUUCCAGUAAACUGGAUCAGUCAAUAAUUCAUUUUCCUUGGGUACUUCCAUCAUGUUUGGUCAUUUCCUCCCGUAUCAUUAAGUAGGAAAGUCCAGCAGUGCAGAUGAGCAAUGUGUCUCACUGGGUCACUGCAUGAAAUGCUCUGCUUGCUCUUUAGCGUUUUCUCAGUUUAACUGUUUGGUUUUAUGACCUUGGCCACAGCCUUUCAUAAGAGCAUGUAGGUCCGCCAUGACAGGAAUGAGAGAUUUGAGGUGGCAGAAGCCAUUUGCCUCUACAUACGCUUAUAUAAACCACCUCAACCACAACAAAAACACCUCAAAAUCUUCCCAAACCCUCAAGGAACCUCUAGACCAUGUUAUUUCCCCAAACGUGCACCUUGUCGCUGCGCGCACGCGCAGCAGCGCCCUACAGGUGCCCCCUCCCCCUGUGCU